UUUAUUUAUAAAUCGAUAUAUUAUUAUAAAGAUAUUUCUUUCAAGUUUUCCUCUAAUUUUUAAUUCAUAUAUUAAUAUCUACGCUUCGAUAUAACAAAUGUACGAUGGAACAAAAUUACGUUCACCGAGAUCCGAGUUGUAAUACAGUAAACGGUAUAUGUGUAUUUCACGGAGAACAUAGAGGGGGUUCCAGGUGUUCCAUGUAUUACUUAGAAGCUUCGUUCCCCGUAUUGGUUAAUGACUGUUGAAUAAACAAUAGCUUUCGGAAGACCAGUGUAAAUUGAACAAACAAAGUUUCGCCUCAAGUGGAGCUGGGUGAACGUAGUCUCUUCUCUUUUCUCCCGUUCAAUCAACCGGGAUGGCCAAUUUAGAAUAGUCUCCGAUUCGUGGGAAAUGGGCUUCAUCGAAAUAAUGUUUGGAAAACGUUUCGAUAAAAAUGGCUACGAGUCGUAAUAUAUAGACAUUCGCGUGAUGGAUAUCCUUUUGUCAAUGAGGUAUAAAGAUUUCGAUAUUUCAAUCAAAGGGAAAAAGAUGUCACUUUUAGAAAUUUUUAAAUUGAAAAAUAUCGUUCGAAGAUUUUCACGACUAUAGAGCCAUUAUAUAUUACAUUUCUUUAUAAUAUAUGUCGUUGUUAAACUAACAAUACGUGGAUUUAUUCUCAAAGAAUAUUU